UCGACGGUGCCUCGCGCCGAGCUGGACAUGCCGUCCGGGUCGCGGGACACGAUCACCACCGUCGGGUUGACCGUGUUCGGAUCGAUGUCGGUCCGGGACCACACGAACCGCAACGGGCUCGCCUGCUUCGCCAGCCGCAACUGACCGUCGCGGAUGCGGAACGCCGACCGGGUGUAGUGCGCCGACAGGCGCCCGGUGCGGGACUUGAACCUCGGACACUUCGCGCGCCCGGUGAAGAAAUCGCCGAACGCGGUGUGCUGAUGCCGCAGCGUCUGCUGCAACGGCACCGACG
rnacentral:antisense_RNA from 1 species